rnacentral:rRNA from 1 species
AGUGAACGCUGGCGGUAGGCCUAACACAUGCAAGUCGAACGGCAGCACAGUAAGAGCUUGCUCUUACGGGUGGCGAGUGGCGGACGGGUGAGGAAUACAUCGGAAUCUACUUUUUCGUGGGGGAUAACGUAGGGAAACUUACGCUAAUACCGCAUACGACCUACGGGUGAAAGCAGGGGAUCUUCGGACCUUGCGCGAUUGAAUGAGCCGAUGUCGGAUUAGCUAGUUGGCGGGGUAAAGGCCCACCAAGGCGACGAUCCGUAGCUGGACUGAGAGGAUGAUCAGCCACACUGGAACUGAGACACGGUCCAGACUCCUACGGGAGGCAGCAGUGGGGAAUAUUGGACAAUGGGCGCAAGCCUGAACCAGCCAUACCGCGUGGGUGAAGAAGGCCUUCGGGUUGCAAAGCCCUUUUGUUGGGAAAGAAAAGCAGCAGGUUAAUACCCCGCUGUUCUGACGGUACCCAAAGAAUAAGCACCGGCUAACUUCGUG